UCUGUGAUCAGGCAGGAGAUGAUGAUCUGGUGGCAGUUACGGAGACGUGGUGGGACAGCUCACAUGGCUGGAAUGUGGUCAUGGAUG
ensembl:miRNA gga-mir-7461 gga-mir-7461